CCAGUCCUCCAUGGGCCGGUCAGGGGAGAGCCCUCCCUUUGAAGAUGCAAAGUCUAUGAGUCAUUCAUGCUCAUGUGAUUCAUAAGCCAACUUCAGAGGCCAGGCUCUCUUUAAUACUCAUUAUUCCUUCAGUAGACGGAGGUGGGCCAAUAGGUAAUUUGCAAAUUGCAGGACUUAGUAAGGGCUCACGAGAGUCAACGUCAGCUGUCCUUCCACCCGUCGCCUGCUUCUGGGGGGCUCUGAGCUGUUGGUUAUGUGCACCCGCUGCCGCCAGGCUGCCACGUUGCUGUUGGAAGUCAGGUGCCCAGGACCCAGCUUGAAAACAGACAGCUUCCAAAAUGUUUCACUCUUCACCAGCAGCAUGGUCUGGGGGGAGAUCCUGAGCCCAUGUACACGCAGCUUUUCAUUCUAGUUCUAGUUUAUUCUAGUGUGACAACUUAACUGACCUUUUUUUGCAUCAAUUCUCCACCUCCCAAAUCAGAAUCAGAUCUUCUUCGUGAAACUAGUUUUUGGGUUGGACCUAAUGUAGCUGGCAGAAAGGAGGUAAAC